rnacentral:rRNA from 1 species
AUGUACAUUCCUGCAACAUAGCGUUAAUUCACCAGAUACCAUUAGAACUCUGUUGUUAAGCAUGCUCAGGCUAGAGUAGUAUUCAUAUGGGUGACCACCCAAGAAGUCCUAUUGUUUUACAUG